UUGAAAGGGAAACGAUUGAAGUCAGUCGUACCGACGAAAAAUCAGCUUUUCGAAUGUGCAUUUGUGGGCGUAUGAGAUCUUCAUUGUUUGCAAUAUGUAUGUUUCUUUGGUGUACUUUUUCGUAUGGUAGGUCAACGUCGGUUUUGGUCGCCAUAAAAUGAUCGGAGGAAUGUAGCUUCGACCUCGGUUGAAGUGUUAUAGCCUUUGGUAGAUGUGGUGAUUAGGACCGAGGAUUGCAACGAAUACCUUUUAGGCUAUUCGUCUGACCUCUGAAAGUUACUUAGGUGCCGAAAGCUUGCUUACGGUCAUUUAAGUUGACGGUUAAUAGGUUAGAACGUGAUUACAUUCGUUAAGGAUGUUGACGUA
rnacentral:rRNA from 1 species